rnacentral:rRNA from 1 species
AUUGAACGCUGGCGGCAUGAUUUACACAUGCAAGUCGAACGGUAACAGGCCGCAAGGUGCUGACGAGUGGCGAACGGGUGAGUAAUGCAUCGGAACGUGCCCAGUCGUGGGGGAUAACUACUCGAAAGAGUAGCUAAUACCGCAUACGAUCUAUGGAUGAAAGCGGGGGACCGUAAGGCCUCGCGCGAUUGGAGCGGCCGAUGUCAGAUUAGGUAGUUGGUGGGGUAAAGGCUCACCAAGCCAACGAUCUGUAGCUGGUCUGAGAGGACGACCAGCCACACGGGGACUGAGACACGGCCCAGACUCCUACGGGAGGCAGCAGUGGGGAAUUUUGGACAAUGGGCGCAAGCCUGAUCCAGCAAUGCCGCGUGCAGGAAGAAGGCCUUCGGGUUGUAAACUGCUUUUGUACGGAACGAAACGGCUCUGGUUAAUACCCGGGGCUAAUGACGGUACCGUAAGAAUAAGCACCGGCUAACUACGUG